rnacentral:rRNA from 1 species
GCGCAGCAGGCGCGAAAACUCCACAAUGCGCGAAAGCGCGAUGGGGCUAUCCCGAGUGCCGUCCGCUGAGGAUGGCUUUUCUCCAGUGUAAGGAGCUGGAGGAAUAAGGGGAGGGCAAGUCUGGUGUCAGCCGCCGCGGUAAUACCAGCUCUCCGAGUGGUAGGGACGUUUAUUGGGCUUAAAGCGUCCGUAGCCGGCUCAGCAAGUCCUCCGUUAAAUCCAGCGAUUCAAUCGUUGGACUGCGGGGGAUACUGCUGGGGCUAGGGGACGGGAGAGGCCGACGGUAUUCCCGGAGUAGGGGUGAAAUCCUAUAAUUCCGGGAGGACCACCAGUGGCGAAGGCUGUCGGCUAGAACGAGCUCGACGGU